GACAGAGGAUGCAAGCGUUAUCCGGAAUUAUUGGGCGUAAAGCGUCUGUAGGUGGCUUUUUAAGUUCGCCGUCAAAUCCCAGGGCUCAACCCUGGACAGGUGGUGGAAACUACCAAGCUAGAGUACGGUAGGGGCAGAGGGAAUUUCCGGUGGAGCGAUGAAAUGCGUAGAGAUCGGAAGGAACACCCAAGGCGAAAGCACUCUGCUGGGCCGACACUGACACUGAGAGACGAAGGCUAGGGGAGCAAAUGGG
rnacentral:rRNA from 1 species